rnacentral:rRNA from 1 species
CAUUAAAGAAUCGCCCCGUUUUUCGAAAUGGGUUCUAUUCCCAAACCGUGUAUACAUACCUUUGUUGCUUUGGCAGGCCGCCAUUUAGGCGUCGGCUUCGGCUGACUGCGCCUGCCAGAGGACCCAAACUCGUUUGUUUAGUGAUGUCUGAGUACUAUAUAAUAGUUAAAACUUUCAACAACGGAUCUCUUGGUUCUGGCAUCGAUGAAGAACGCAGCGAAAUGCGAUAAGUAAUGUGAAUUGCAGAAUUCAGUGAAUCAUCGAAUCUUUGAACGCACAUUGCGCCCCUUGGUAUUCCGAGGGGCAUGCCUGUUCGAGCGUCAUUAUAACCACUCAAGCCUCGGCUUGGUCUUGGGGUUCCGCGGUCUCGCGGCCCUUAAAAUCAGUGGCGGUGCCAUCUGGCUCUAAGCGUAGUAAUUUCUCUCGCUAUAGGGUCCCGGUGGUCUCCUGCCAGAACCCCCCUAUUUUUUACGGUUGACCUCGGAUCAGGUAGGGAUACCC